GGACAACUUGGGAAGCUACAUGGUGAUGCCCAGCUUGCACAACUGAGAAAGUCUAUUGCAGAGGUUGUUCAAGAACUUGUUAUGGGUCCAAAGCAAACUCCUUGCAUCCGGAGAGCACUUCUAAAGGACAUUGGCAAUCUUUGCUGUUUUUUUGGCCAGAGACAGAGUAACGACUUUCUCUUGCCUAUUCUUCCUGCAUUUUUAAAUGACCGAGAUGAGCAACUAAGGGCAGUAUUCUAUGGACAAAUAGUGUAUGUUUGCUUCUUUGUUGGGGAAAGGAGCGUGGAGGAGUAUCUUUUACCAUAUAUUGAGCAGUCCUUAAAAGAUACUUCAGAGGCUGUCAUUGUUAAUGGAUUGGAUUGCUUGGCUAUUCUGUGUAAAAGAGGUUUCUUGAGGAAGAGGAUAUUGCUUGAGAUGAUUGAGCAUGCUUUUCCAUUGUUAUGUUAUCCCAGUCAAUGGGUAAGAAGGUCAGCCGCUACUUUUAUUG
rnacentral:misc_RNA from 1 species